CCUACGGGUGGCAGCAGUGAGGAAUCUUCGUCAAUGGCCGCAGGGCUGAACCAGCCAAGUCGCGUGAGGGAUGACGGUCCUAUGGAUUUUAAACCUCUUUUGUCAGGGAGCAAAGGGCGCCUCGUGUGGCGCUUUGCGAGUACCUGAAGAAAAAGCAUCGGCUAACUCCGUGACAGCAGCCGCGGUAAUACGGGGGAUGCGGGCGUUAUCCGGAUUUGUUGGGUUUAAAGGGUGCGCAGUCGGAAUGUCAAGUCAACGGUAAAAUUUCGGGGCUCAACCCCGUCGUGCCGUUGAAACUGGCGGUCUUGAGUGAGCGAGAAGGAUGUGGAAUGCGUGGUGUAGCGGUGAAAUGCAUAGAUAUCACGCAGAACUCCGAUGGCGAAGGCAGCAUACCGGCGCUCAACUGACGCUCAUGCACGAAAGCGUGGGUAUCGAACAGGAUUAGAUACCCGUGUAGUC
rnacentral:rRNA from 1 species